rnacentral:rRNA from 1 species
CCUACGGGUGGCAGCAGUGAGGAAUAUUGGUCAAUGGGCGCGAGCCUGAACCAGCCAAGUAGCGUGAAGGAUGACUGCCCUACGGGUUGUAAACUUCUUUUAUCAAGGAAUAAAGUGAGGCACGUGUGCCUUUUUGUAUGUACUUUAUGACUAAGGAUCGGCUAACUCCGUGCCAGCAGCCGCGGUAAUACGGAGGAGCCGAGCGUUAUCCGGAUUUCUUUGGUUUAAAGGGAGAGUAGAUGGGUUGUUAAGUCAGUUGUGAAAGUUUGCGGCUCAACCGUAAAAUUGCAAUUGAGACUGGCAGUCUUGAGUACAGUUGAGGUAGGCGGAAUUCGUGGGGUAGCGGGGAAAUGCUUAGAUAUCACGAAGAACGCCGAUUGCGAAGGCAGCUUACUAAACUGCCACUGACAUUGAUGCUCGAAAGUGUGGGUAUCAAACAGGAUUAGAUACCCCUGUAGUC